AUGCAUAGUCAGACCCUGUCUCAAAAAGGCCAAAAACAAAUCAAAACAAAAAACAAAAAACAAAACACAACGGCAUGGGAGAGCAACCUGGAGAGACUCUGAUAGCUCAGGUCAGCCCAAUACCUGUGGCUGCCACUCACUUUUCCUAUACAA